rnacentral:rRNA from 1 species
UACGGGGGGAGCAAGCGUUGUUCGGAUUUACUGGGCGUAAAGGGCGCGUAGGCGGCGUGACAAGUCACUUGUGAAAUCUCCGGGCUUAACUCGGAACGGUCAAGUGAUACUGUCGUGCUAGAGUACAGAAGGGGCAACUGGAAUUCCCGGUGUAGCAGUGAAAUGCGUAGAGAUCGGGAGGAACAUCAGUUGCGAAGGCGGCUCUCUGGACCAGUACUGACGCUGAGGCACGAAAGCGUGGGGAGCAAACAGG